AGGGACGGGACUCGCUGCCCCUCCUGGGGGACCCCGGUGGCGCGGACCUGCUGGCCGGGACCACCCGGGCCGGAAGCCGGGGAGCGGAAACUGGCAAAAGUGGUGCGGGCGGAUGAUACGGCCGCGCUUUCUCUGGUCCCUGGGUCUGGACAACAGGUGCCCGGCCUGCUCGAGUACUCGGUCCUUGGGUACUCACGCUUUGGCCCAAAGCGAGCACGGAGUCCCCAGGAAUCACUGGCUCUAAUUUUCACCCCUGGAGUCUGACUGCACCCCCUUUAGAAACGUUCCAGCGAGUGGUGCCUCCAGCCCCAAGCGCGCUCACCCAGCGU